UCAGUAGCUGUCUGAGAUGACGACAGCACACUGCACUGAGACACGUCUAGACUCUACGGUAGUCAGCAGUGCGUACUUUGACAUGGGCGAAAGCCUGAUCCAGCAAUGCCGCGUGAGUGAAGAAGGCCUUUCGGGUUGUAAAGCUAUUGGUCAGGGAAGAAACGGUGUGGGCUAAUAUCCUGCACUAAUGACGAGUACCUGAAGAAUAAGCACCGGCUAACUACGUGCCAGCAGCCGCGGUAAUACGUAGGGUGCAAGCGUUAAUCGGAAUUACUGGGCGUAAAGCGUGCGCAGGCGGUUUUGUAAGUUUGUCGUGAAAUCCCCGGGCUCAACCUGGGAAUUGCGAUGAAGACUGCAAGGCUAGAAUCUGGCAGAGGGGGGUAGAAUUCCACGUGUAGCAGUGAAAUGCGUAGAGAUGUGGAAGAACACCGAUGGCGAAGGCAGCCCCCUGGGUCAAGAUUGACGCUCAUGCACGAAAGCGUGGGGAGCAAACAGAAUUAGAUACCCUGGUAGUCCACGCCCUAAACGAUGUCUACAAAUUGUCGGGUUUUAAUUAACUUGGUAACGCAGCUAACGCGUGAAGUAGACCGCCUCGAGAGGACGGUCGCAAGAUUAAAACUCAAAGGAAUUGACGGGGACCCGCACAAGCGGUGGAUGAUGUGGAUUAAUUCGAUGCAACGCGAAAAACCUUACCUACCCUUGACAUGUACGGAAGCCACGAGAGAUCGAGGCGUGCUCGAAAGAGAGCCGUAACACAGGUGCUGCAUGGCUGUCGUCAGCUCGUGUCGUGAGAUGUUGGGUUAAGUCCCGCAACGAGCGCAACCCUUGUCAUUAGUUGCUACGAAAGAGCACUCUAAUGAGACUGCCGGUGACAAACCGGAGGAAGGUGGGGAUGACGUCAAGUCCUCAU
rnacentral:rRNA from 1 species